rnacentral:rRNA from 1 species
UACAGAGGGUGCGAGCGUUAAUCGGAAUUACCGGGCGUAAAGCGCGCGUAGGCGGCUUUGCAAGUCGGGUGUGAAACCCCCAGGCUUAACCUGGGAACUGCAUUCGAGACUGCAUUGCUAGAGUAUGGGAGAGGGAAGUGGAAUUUCCGGUGUAGCGGUGAAAUGCGUAGAUAUCGGAAGGAACAUCAGUGGCGAAAGCGACUUCCUGGACCAAUACUGACGCUCAUGUGCGAAAGCGUGGGGAGCAAACAGG